rnacentral:misc_RNA from 1 species
GAUGAAGAACGCAGCGAAAUGCGAUAAGUAAUGUGAAUUGCAGAAUUCAGUGAAUCAUCGAAUCUUUGAACGCACAUUGCGCCCGCCAGUAUUCUGGCGGGCAUGCCUGUUCGAGCGUCAUUUCAACCAUCAAGCCCCCGGCUUGUGUUGGGGACAUGCGGCUGCCGCAGGCCCUGAAAACCAGUGGCGGGCUCGCUAGUCACUCCGAGCGUAGUAAUACAUCUCGCUCAGGGCGUGCUGCGGGUUCCGGCCGUUAAAAAGCCUUAUUUACCCAAGGUUGACCUCGGAUCAGGUAGGAAGACCAGCUGAACUUAAGCAUAUCAAUAAGCGGAGGA